rnacentral:rRNA from 1 species
GAUGAACGCUAGCGGCAGGCCUAACACAUGCAAGUCGAGGGGCAGCACAGAAACAGCAAUGUUUUGGUGGCGACCGGCGGACGGGUGCGUAACGCGUAUGCAACCUACCUUUAACAGGGGGAUAACGGAGAGAAAUUUCCACUAAUACCCCAUAACAUCGAUCAAGGCAUCUUGAUUGGUUGAAAACUCCGGUGGUUAAAGAUGGGCAUGCGUUGUAUUAGGUAGUUGGUUAGGUAAUGGCUCACCAAGCCUACGAUACAUAGGGGGACUGAGAGGUUAGCCCACCACACUGGUACUGAGACACGGACCAGACUCCUACGGGAGGCAGCAGUGAGGAAUAUUGGUCAAUGGGGGCAACCCUGAACCAGCCAUGCCGCGUGCAGGAAGACGGCUCUAUGAGUUGUAAACUGCUUUUAAACAGGGAUAAAGCACAGUAUGUAUACUGUGUUGAAGGUACUGUAAGAAUAAGGAUCGGCUAACUCCGUGCCAGCCGCCGCGGUAA